GAGAGGUAACGGCUCACCAAGGCAUCGACGGGUAGCUGGUCUGAGAGGAUGAUCAGCCACACUGGAACUGAGACACGGUCCAGACUCCUACGGGAGGCAGCAGUGGGGAAUCUUGCACAAUGGGCGAAAGCCUGAUGCAGCGAUGCCGCGUGCGGGAAGAAGGCCCUAGGGUUGUAAACCGCUUUCAGGAGGGAAGAAAAUGACGGUACCUCCAGAAGAAGGUGCGGCCAACUACGUGCCAGCAGCCGCGGUAACACGUAGGCACCAAGCGUUAUCCGGAUUUAUUGGGCGUAAAGAGCUCGUAGGCGGUUCAGUCAGUCGGGUGUGAAAACUUGAGGCUUAACCUCAAGAGGUCACUCGAUACUGCUGUGACUAGAGUGCGGUAGGGGAGCGGGGAAUUCCUGGUGUAGCGGUGAAAUGCGCAGAUAUCAGGAGGAACACCAGUGGCGAAGGCGCCGCUCUGGGCCGUAACUGACACUGAGGAGCGAAAGCAUGGGUAGCAAACAGGAUUAGAUACCCUGGUAGUCCAUGCCGUAAACGUUGGGCACUAGGUGUGGGUCUCAACCAACGAGAUCCGCGCCGUCGCUAACGCAUUAAGUG
rnacentral:rRNA from 1 species